GACGAACGCUGGCGGCGUGCCUAACACAUGCAAGUCGAGCGGGGUUGAAGCGAGGGGUAACUCGGACUUCUACCUAGCGGCGGACGGGUGAGUAACGCGUGGGCAACCUGCCUCAAGGUUUGGGAUAACAGCUCGAAAGGGCUGCUAAUACCGGAUAUGCCUGUGGCCUCGCAUGGGGCUAUGAGCAAAGGGGAAACCCGCCUUGAGAUGGGCCCGCGUCCCAUCAGCUAGUUGGUGAGGUGAAGGCUCACCAAGGCGACGACGGGUAGCCGGCCUGAGAGGGUGACCGGCCACACUGGGACUGAGACACGGCCCAGACUCCUACGGGGGGCAGCAGUGGGGGAUCUUGCACAAUGGGCGAAAGCCUGAUGCAGCGACGCCGCGUGAGCGAAGAAGGCCUUCGGGUUGUAAAGCUCUGUCUGGAGGGACGAAGAAAAUGACGGUACCUCCGGAGGAAGCCACGGCUAACUACGUGCCAGCCGCCGCGGUAAUAC
rnacentral:rRNA from 1 species